rnacentral:rRNA from 1 species
CCUACGGGUGGCAGCAGUGGGGAAUAUUGGGCAAUGGGCGCAAGCCUGACCCAGCAACGCCGCGUGAAGGAAUAAGGCUUUCGGGUUGUUAACUUCUUGUCUCAUGGACGAAGCAAGUGACGGUACCUGAGGAAUAAGCCACGACUGACUACUUUCCACCAGCCGCGGUAAUACUUAGGUGGCAAGCGUUAUCCGGAUUUACUGGGUGUAAAGGGCGUUUAGGCGGGUACGCAAGUCAGAUGUGAAAACCACGGGCUCAACCUGUGGACUGCAUUUGAGACUGUGUUUCUUGAGUACUGGAGAGGCAGACGGAAUUCGUAGUGUAGCGGUGAAAUGCGUAGAUAUUGGGAGGAACACCAGUGGCGAAGGCGGUCUGCUGGACAGCAACUGACGCUGAGGCGCGAAGGCGUGGGGAGCGAACAGGAUUAGAUACCCGAGUAGUC